CAGCAGCCGCGGUAAUACAUAGGGUGCGAGCGUUAUCCGGAAUUAUUGGGCGUAAAGCGUCUAUAGGUGGUUAAGAAAGUCUAAUGUUAAAGACCGGGGCUCAACCCCGGCACGCUUUGGAAACUCCUUAACUAGAAUUAUCGAGAGGUCGGUGGAACUCCAUAUGGAGCGGUGGUAUGCGUAGAUAUAUGGAAGAACACCAAUGGCGAAGGCAACCGACUGGCGAUAAAUUGACACUAAGAGACGAAAGCGUGGGGAGCAAACAGGAUUAGAUACCCUGGUAGUCCACGCCGUAAACGAUGAUCAUUAGUUGGUGGAAAUGUUCACUAGCGCAGCUAACGCAUUAAAUGAUCCGCCUGAGUAGUAUGCUCGCAAGAGUGAAACUUAAAGGAAUUGACGGGGACCCGCACAAGCGGUGGAGCAUGUGGUUUAAUUUGAAGAUACGCGAAGAACCUUACCCUCUCUUGACAUCUCUUGCAAAAGUUUGGAAACAAACUGGAGGUUAACAAGAUGACAGAUGGUGCAUGGUUGUCGUCAGCUCGUGCCG
rnacentral:rRNA from 1 species